rnacentral:misc_RNA from 1 species
UCACUACUUGCGUAGGCAGUCGAUCCAGAGUUCCCACCAUUACGUGCUGGCAACUGAAUCCAGGGGUUGCGCUCGUUGCUGGACUUAACCAAACACCUCACGGCACGAGCUGACGACAGCCAUGCAGCACCUGUACCGCCCCCCUUGCGGGUAGCCCACUUUCAUGGGUUUAGACGGCCUUUCAAGCCUAGGUAAGGUUCUUCGCGUUGCAUCGAAUUGAACCACAUGCUCCACUGCUUGUGCGGGCCCCCGUCAAUUCCUUUGAGUUUCACCCUUGCGAGCGUACUCCCCAGGUGGAUCACUUAACGCGUUAGCUCCGACGCCGACUUUUUCAGCCGACAUCAAGUGAUCAUCGUUUAGGGCAUGGACUAC